rnacentral:rRNA from 1 species
AAUGAACGCUGGCGGCGUGCUUUACACAUGCAAGUCGAGCGAGGCGGGUAGCAAUACCCAGUCGAGCGGCGAACGGGUGAGUAACGCGUGGAUUAUCUGCCCUGAGGUGGGGGAUAACCCGGGGAAACUCGGGCUAACACCGCAUAGGACCGUGAGGUCAAAGGGGGGUCGCAAGAUCUCUCGCCAUAGGAGGAGUCCGCGUUCGAUUAGCUAGUUGGUAGGGUAAUGGCCUACCAAGGCGACGAUCGAUAGCCGGCCUGAGAGGGUGAUCGGCCACACUGGAACUGAGACACGGGUCCAGACUCCUACGGGAGGCAGCAGUGGGGAAUUUUGCGCAAUGGGCUAACGCCUGACGCAGCAACGCCGCGUGGAGGAUGAAGGUCUUUGGAUUGUAAACUCCUGUCAGCAGGGAAAAAGCAACUUGACCUCAUACGUCAGGGAGUUGAUUUGUACCUGCAGAGGAAGCCCCGGGCUAAACUCUGUGCCAGCAGCCGCAGUAC